rnacentral:rRNA from 1 species
CUACGGGUUGCAGCAGUGGGGAAUAUUGCACAAUGGAGGGAACUCUGAUGCAGCAACGCCGCGUGGAGGAUGACACAUUUCGGUGCGUAAACUUCUUUUAUAUAAGAAGAUAAUGACGGUAUUAUAUGAAUAAGCACCGGCUAACUCCGUGCCAGCAGCCGCGGUAAUACGGGGGGUGCAAGCGUUACUCGGAAUCACUGGGCGUAAAGAGCAUGUAGGCUGGUUUGUAAGUUGGAAGUGAAAUCCUAUGGCUUAACCAUAGAACUGCUUCCAAAACUACUUACCUAGAGUAUGGGAGAGGUAGAUGGAAUUUCUGGUGUAGGGGUAAUAUCCGUAGAGAUCAGAAGGAAUACCGAUUGCGAAGGCGAUCUACUGGAACAUUACUGACGCUCAGAUGCGAAAGCGUGGGGAGCAAACAGGAUUAGAUACCCCUGUAGUC